rnacentral:other from 1 species
UAAAACCUGGAUUGUUCGCCUUUUUAUAUGAGAAUUUGGCCUAACACUAAAUUAAUGGGGUUAGCUCUUAUUAAGGUAACUUGGAUUAGUCACGAUAAGACAAUUGAGCUUAUACGGACUCCAUAUACUGUAAUAAUCUGACUACCACUUGGUCUUGAUAAGACCAAAUCCACUUAAUUAGGACGGCAAUCUGGGCUUUAU